rnacentral:lncRNA from 1 species
AACAUGCCAGAAAAAGUGCACUGAUUAGACAACUUCCCAUUGUAGUCUUAUCUGCACAUGGGUGGGUCUGUGUGUGUGUAUAAAAUGUCAAUUGUUUUCUUUUAAAUUUUUCUUUUUUUUCAGUGAUGGUGACAGCUGGUUCUGUGAGUGUCCGAGGCGGUAUUCAGGCAAGCUAUGCCAGUGUCCAAGGUGUGAAAACAAUCCUUGUGGAAACAGGGCCACCCAUGUCCCCAAAUCCGGAGCAGACAUCAUCUGCCUCUGCCUCUGCCCCUAUGGGAAGGCUGGAACCUGGUGCACGGAAGAUUAAUCUUCACCACUGAUGUUACGUGGCCUGACUGCAAUACUGCACAGUUGGGUCUCGGGAGAGGUGCCUUCCUGACCUUCACUAUCCUGCUCGUCGCUCUCCCUCACUCUGCAAAGAUCAAGGAGGUGGAGGGCCAGGCUCAGAGACAAGACAUCCAGCGGAAAGUGAGGAAGUCAGGAUGGAAGUGACGCCAG